AUACGUAGGUGGCGAGCGUUGUCCGGAUUUACUGGGCGUAAAGGGCGUGCAGGCGGUCUGCUAAGUCCAGGGUGAAAGCUCCCGGCUCAACUGGGAGAGGUCCUUGGAUACUGACGGACUUGAGGGAGGUAGAGGAAAGUGGAAUUCCCGGUGUAGUGGUGAUAUGCGUAGAUAUCGGGAGGAACACCAGUGGCGAAGGCGGCUUUCUGGGCCUUUCCUGACGCUGAGACGCGAAAGCGUGGGGAGCGAACCGGAUUAGAUACCCUAGUAGUCC
rnacentral:rRNA from 1 species